rnacentral:rRNA from 1 species
GAAAUCGUACCCCAAACCGACACAGGUGGUCAGGUAGAGAAUACCAAGGCGCUUGAGAGAACUCGGGUGAAGGAACUAGGCAAAAUGGUGCCGUAACUUCGGGAGAAGGCACGCUGAUAUGUAGGUGAAGCCCCUGCGGGUGGAGCUGAAAUCAGUCGAAGAUACCAGCUGGCUGCAACUGUUUAUUAAAAACACAGCACUGUGCAAACACGAAAGUGGACGUAUACGGUGUGACGCCUGCCCGGUGCCGGAAG